rnacentral:rRNA from 1 species
CUACGGGUCGCACCAGUGAGGAAUAUUGCACAAUGGGGGAAACCCUGAUGCAGCAACGCCGCGUGGAGGAUGACGCAUUUCGGUGUGUAAACUCCUUUUAUCAGAGAAGAAAAUGACGGUAUCUGAUGAAUAAGCUCCGGCUAACUCCGUGCCAGCAGCCGCGGUAAUACGGAGGGAGCAAGCGUUAUUCGGAAUCACUGGGCGUAAAGGACGCGUAGGCGGGUUUUUAAGUCAGGUGUGAAAUCCUAUGGCUCAACCAUAGAACUGCACUUGAAACUGGGGAUCUAGAGUAUGGAAGGGGCAGGUGGAAUUAGUGGUGUAGGGGUAAAGUCUGUAGAUAUCACUAGGAAUACCGAAAGCGAAGGCGACCUGCUGGGACAUUACUGACGCUGAGGCGUGAAAGCGUGGGGAGCAAACAGGAUUAGAUACCCUAGUAGUC